GACGAACGCUGGCGGCGCGCUUAACACAUGCAAGUCGAGCGAGAACCUGGGCUUCGGCCCUGGGGACAGCGGCGAACGGGUGAGUAACACAUGGGUAAUCUGCCCUUGACAUCGGGAUAGCCCGGGGAAACCCGGAUUAAUACCGAAUAGCCUCCGGAGCCUUCGGGCGCCGGAGAAAAGGUAGCUUCGGCCUCUGGUCGAGGAUGAGCCCGCGGCGGAUUAGCUUGUUGGCGGGGUAACGGCCCACCAAGGCGACGAUCCGUAGCUGGUCUGAGAGGCAGAUCAGCCAAACUGGGAGUGAGACACGGCCCAGACUCCUACGGGAGGCAGCAGUGGGGAAUCUUGCGCCAAUGCGGGAAACCGUGACGCAGCGACGCCGCGUGGGGGAAGAAGGCCUUCGGGUUGUAAACCUCUUUCAGGAGGGACGAAGCCACUCGGGUGAAUAGCCCAGAGGGUGACGGUACCUCCAGAAGAAGCCCCGGCUAACUACGUGCCAGCCGCCGCCGUAA
rnacentral:rRNA from 1 species